AAAGUCAGGGGAGACACCAUAAUCAGGCAGGUGGUUUUCCCAGGGCGAGGCUCACCCCCUGCUCUCUGGGUGUGCUGACCCCUGUGAUUUCCCCAAAUGCGGGAAACUCGACUGCAUAAUUUGUGAUAGUGGGGGACUGCGUUCGCACUCUCCUA
rfam:Callipepla squamata strain Texas jcf7180005184292, whole genome shotgun sequence.